UUCAUUUAGGUAAAUAAAUACUACAAUAUACAUCCACUGAGAUUUUACACUACACAGAUCAGAGCUCUGAUAAAACUCAACUGACCAGCAGUUUCCCACCAUCUUAAACUCUUUGCAUGACUAAUUUACUCCACUGGUCAUUCCAACAGAUCAGGCUGUUCCAUUGAAUUAUUUUGGGGAGAGAUAACAUUAUAAAUUUCAUAUGCAGAAUUUGUCUAGGACAUUGCAAUUUUUUUUUUGCUCAGAAAUUUGUAAUGAUUUUUAAAUUCUAUAUAUAUAUAUCUAUUUGUUACUUGAAUUUUUGUUACAUUCAAUGAAUGGAGGUUGAGAUGAUGAGUAAAUUAACCCUGUUUUACAUAAUGAUUGACCUGUCCAUGCAGUUAUACAGUUGUGAAUUUUGAAUUCUAAGAUAUCUGGGUCAGCAAAAAGAGUGCAAAUAACAGACAUGACAGAGGAUGUACUUGAUAUUUUAACAAUUUUGGAGAUAUGCUUUUGUUUAAGAUCUCAAAGUGUUUUAGUAAAUAAGUGUGAAAACAUGGGACAAGGAGAUGAACAACAUAAUCAGACUGGGAGUUAAGUGCUGACUGUGAGAUGCAAGGUGUUUCAAUAAAGAUGUGCAGUAUUAAUCCUGAAAAGGUGAGCACAACCACAAGAAGUUCUUGGAAACACAGGCAGUGGACUUAAAACAGACAUCAAUUAAAGAAAUAGUAAUUUAAAUAAUCAGAAACAUUUGAAACAAAUUUAUGAUUGAAACACUCUCAGCAAAAAAAUUGCAAAAAAAACAAAGUGUUGGAUUCUAAGAAAACCAGUACUUACCAAAACCUGCAGGUAGAAAAAAGACUGUUUGUGUUAUAGUGAAUGUAUGGUAUUCUAUUCUGUAUUUGGACUAAAGGAUAUGUAUUAAAUUUUGUGAAAGAAAAUUUAAUGUGAUACAUUAUUGAUAAUUUUAUCCCAAAAAAAUGUGAUCAUGUUAAACUCAUAAAAAUUCCGCCCCCAUGAAUUCUGUCCCAGAAUUCCGUCCAGAAUUUUGUUUGACAAUUCCGUUCCAAAAUUCCGUUCCGAAAUUCCGCCCCGAGAUUCCGCUUCAAAAUUCCGCCCCAAGAUUCUGCUUCAAAAUUCCGCCCCAAGAUUCUGCUUCAAAAUUCCGCCCCAACCCAUUUGCAUAUUUCGUCCCAAUUCCGCCCAGAAUCCGUCCCAAAUCCGCCUGGAAUCCGGCCGGAAUCCGUGCCAAAAGCAAAUGGUUUAACACUUGUAUAUUUGGGGGAGAAUUUAAAUUUCUGGGCGGAAUCUGCCAUUGAAUUCCGCCUCAUUUCCGUGCAGAAAAUUUCGUAAAGGUUGGUAGACACUGACUAGAUAAUGUUUCAUGCCAAAUAUUAAGCUCUAGCUCUUUCGGUUUUCUAAAAGAAGAUAUUUUAAGUUGUUGUUUUUUUUGGUUGCCAUGGCAACCAUAGUUCUGUUUGGAAUUAAAUUAUUUGAACAAUUUUGAAGUUGACUACCAUAGGAACAUUUCUGUGAAGUUUGGAUCAAAUUGGCUCAGUCUUUAAUGAGGAGAUGUUGUUUAAAGUAAAAGUUUACGGACGGACGUACGGACGCCGGACGAAAAGCGAUCACAAAAGCUCACCAUGUCACUUUGUGACAGGUUAGCUAAAAAGUACACAGGACGCGUUUUAGACACACACACACACGCACGCACGCACGCACACACACACACACACACACGACGGUUAACAGAUACAAGACUUUUAAAAAAAUAUGCUAGAUCUAUUGUUUUUUCACUGAAUAUUUUCAAAUUUUAGGAAGGCUAAAAUUAUUAUGGAAUACUUUGAGUCUACAAAAGCACACACUUAUUGUCGCUUAUUGAACACUCCAACUCAAACUUAUUCUAAAUAAUAUCAAAUCACUGCCGGUAUUUCUGGACAUUUUGUUGAAUUGUGAGACGGAUUUACUAGCUUAAAGUGUAUAGGCCUACGUUUGAUUGCUCAAACUAGAAAGCAUGAUAUUAUAUUCUUAUAAUUUACAUUUUCAAUGCUGAACGUAAAGUGAAUCAGUUUUCCUUUAUUUAUUUCUUGUCAUGCUUAUAAUGUAGUAUUUGUUAGCGAUUUCUUGUGAAAUUUGAAACCUACGGACAAUUUUAGCGCACGAACAUCGCACCCGAAAUAAGAACGGUAACAUAUUAUUGUAUCCCAUCGAACCUGGUCAAUUAAGUCGUUUUUGAAUAGACGUGAUACAUACGGACAGAAUUCAGACAACUACAGAAUUAUGUAAAUUAAACAUUAAUUAGCGAAGAACCAUUUUUAUAGUCUUCAAGCUCGUGUCCCGCUCCCCUACGACGCGUUGCGCGCUUGAUUGAAAAGCUAUCUAAUCAAAUCACUUCAUUGUUCUUUUUCUCUUUAAAAAAUUAAAAUACGAUAGUAUAUUAUGGUAAUUUAUUAAAUCUUUGUGUGUUAGAAUUUAUAAAGCGAUUACUGACAUUUUCACUUCAAAUGAUUUUGUUUAUUUUAAAUAAUGGUUUGCUAGUAAAAUUGCCUUUGA